rnacentral:rRNA from 1 species
AUUGAACGCUGGCGGCAUGCUUUACACAUGCAAGUCGAACGGCAGCAUGGGCUUCGGCCUGAUGGCGAGUGGCGAACGGGUGAGUAAUGCAUCGGAACGCGUCCUGUAAUGGGGGAUAACCUGGCGAAAGCCAGGCUAAUACCGCAUACGUCCUGAGGGAGAAAGCGGGGGAUCGUAAGACCUCGCGUUAUAGGAGCGGCCGAUGUCGGAUUAGCUAGUUGGUGGGGUAAAGGCCUACCAAGGCGACGAUCUGUAGCGGGUCUGAGAGGACGGCCCGCCACACUGGGACUGAGACACGGCCCAGACUCCUACGGGUGGCUG